rnacentral:rRNA from 1 species
UACGAAGGGGGCUAGCGUUGUUCGGAAUUACUGGGCGUAAAGCGCACGUAGGCGGAUACUUAAGUCAGGGGUGAAAUCCCGGGGCUCAACCCCGGAACUGCCUUUGAUACUGGGUGUCUUGAGUAUGGAAGAGGUAAGUGGAAUUCCGAGUGUAGAGGUGAAAUUCGUAGAUAUUCGGAGGAACACCAGUGGCGAAGGCGGCUUACUGGUCCAUUACUGACGCUGAGGUGCGAAAGCGUGGGGAGCAAACAGG